rnacentral:rRNA from 1 species
UGUAGCCUACGGGAGGCAGCAGUCGGGGAUAUUGCACAAUGGGGGGAACCCUGAUGCAGCGACGCCGCGUGGGUGAAGGAGCGUUUCGGCGCGUAAAGCCCUAUCGGCAGGGAAGAAGAUGACGGUACCUGACCAAGAAGCCCCGGCUAACUACGUGCCAGCAGCCGCGGAAAUACGUAGGGGGCAAGCGUUAUCCGGAUUUACUGGGUGUAAAGGGAGCGUAGACGGCAUAGCAAGUCUGAAGUGAAAGCCCGUGGCUCAACCGCGGAACUGCUUUGGAAACUGUUAAGCUGGAGUACUGGUGG